GUGGGGAAUCUUCCGCAAUGGACGAAAGUCUGACGGAGCAACGCCGCGUGAGUGAUGAAGGUCUUCGGAUUGUAAAGCUCUGUUAAUCGGGACGAAAGAGCCUAGUGUGAAUAAUGCUAGGAAGUGACGGUACCGGAAUAGAAAGCCACGGCUAACUACGUGCCAGCAGCCGCGGUAAUACGUAGGUGGCAAGCGUUGUCCGGCAUUAUUGGGCGUAAAGCGCGCGCAGGCGGAUCUGCCAGUCUGUCUUAAAAGUUCGGGGCUUAACCCCGUGAUGGGAUGGAAACUACAGAUCUAGAGGAUCGAAGAGGAAAGUGGAAUUCCUAGUGUAGAGGUGAAAUGCGUAGAUAUUAGGAAGAACACCAGUGGCGAAGGCGACUUUCUGGACGAAAACUGACGCUGAGGCGCGAAAGCCAGGGGAGCGAACGGGAUUAGAUACCCUAGUAGUCC
rnacentral:rRNA from 1 species